rnacentral:lncRNA from 1 species
AUGGUAGUGGAUGGCUCUGUAUGGAUGAUGCACGUGUCCGUAGGACAGAUGUGGCCACUGUACUCAGGACCAGAGCUCACACUGCCUACAUCCUCUUAUAUGUGUGCAGUGGAGCAGGUGAAGGAGACCAGGCACCUAAGAUGCAGAAUUAGAAGAGCUUCCAGAGGAAUCUGUCUGACCAAGACCACCAAGGUAAUCAUUGGGAAAUUCUUUAGAGCAUUAGUACUGAGGGCAGACACUGUUUUUGAAAUUAUGGGGGGGGGGUAGCUUAGCAUGAGACAGUGACAAUUCAUGUCCACUACACUUGAUUGUUAAUCGUCUUAAAAUAUAAAUGCAAAUACAAUGUUUUCCAGGGGAUCAAAAGCUGCAUGAUUUUGCAUGAAGAGUGGACAACUGAGGGGAACUCUGGGGCAGGAACACAAGAUUUAAAGGGUUGCAACUGCUGGGUGGAGAGCGUCUGUGAAACUGCAGACAGAGGAGCUAACAUGGAUAGAAAACAGCUACAAAGCACUAAAUGAGAUCUGAAUAUUUCUGUAUAAUUUAUUAAGGCCUGAUACAGAAGUGAGACUGGUGUGGGGUCUUCUCUUUCCUUUCUAGAAACUUUGGGACCUUCAGACGUCCGUGGGUCUUCAUUUUAAUCAGACCCGGAUCUUUACCUUUCAGGUUGAAUAAUUUAGAGUAAAUCUA